UCCCAGUUAGUACAAUGGUCAGUAUAGGGCACUCUCAUGCGGUUGCCGUUGGCACCACAUCGUACUGCUCAGAUCAGGGUUCGAUUCCCUGGCCGGGAA
rnacentral:tRNA from 1 species